GAUGAACGCUGGCGGCGUGCCUAAUACAUGCAAGUCGUACGGAAAGGCCCUUCGGGGUACUCGAGUGGCGGACGGCUGAGUAACGCGUGGGAACGUGCCCCAAAGUGAGGGAUAACGCACCGAAGGGUGUGCUAACACCGCAUAUGGUCUUCGGAUUAAAGCUUCGGCGCUUUGGGAGCGGCCCGCGUACGAUUAGAUAGUUGGUGAGGUAAUGGCUCACCAAGUCGACGAUCGUUAGCUGGUCUGAGAGGAUGAUCAGCCAGACUGGGACUGAGACACGGCCCAGACUCCUACGGGAGGCAGCAGUAAGGAAUCUUCCACAAUGGGGGCAACCCUGAUGGAGCAACGCCGCGUGCAGGAUGAAGGUUUUCGGAUCGUAAACUGCUUUUAUAAGUGAAGAAUAUGACGGUAACUUAUGAAUAAGGAUCGGCUAACUACGUGCCAGCCGCCGCGGUAA
rnacentral:rRNA from 1 species